GCCGUAGGGGGCACGCGUUGUUCGGAGUUAUUGGGCGUAAAGCGCUCGUAGGCGGGACUGGAAGUCCGUGUUGAAAGACCUCGGCUCAACUGAGGGACCGGCUCGGAUACUCUAGUUCUUGAGGCAAUCAGAGGGUGAUGGAAGUCCCGGUGUAGCGGUGAAAUGCGCAGAUAUCAGGAGGAACACCGAUGGCGAAGGCAGGUCUCUGGGCCACUACUGACGCUGAGAAGCGAAAGCAUGGGGAGCGAACAGG
rnacentral:rRNA from 1 species